GUUCUCUUCCGAUCUGGAAAAGGACGCUCACUUGACUCCAAGACUGCAGAUUCCGGUGGGACGCAGAGAGUGAAGUAUGAGUGAAAACGACGGAGAAAAUCCCCGCGACCGUCCAGGUCCUGUCCCCCGCCCCCGCCCGACUGACUCUGACUAUACCAAACUUCCGCAGCCACGAGCCAACAAGAUCAAGGGGAUGAUCUUCAAUGACCUGUUCAAAGGCACAGCGCCGGCCGCUGCCUCCGCUAGCCGUUGAUGAUACCAGCUUCUUCUGUGCUAUCAUGGUGAUGGUUAUGGUUUUUUUUGGUUUUUAAUUUUUUGUGUGUGUGGGGGGGGGGGGGGGGGGGGGGGUUUACUGGGCUUGAGCCUUUUUGGCAGUGUAAGCAAGUACUUUGCUACUAUCUGUUCAAAAAGUAGUGCGAAUUAAUGUCUUUUUUUAAUCAUUGAUGCUCUGUUUUGUGAUCUUGUGCUUCAACUUUGAUGUUUUGAGAUAUGGGCAUUUGAUCACCGGAGAAAUAUACAGGUUGAAUUCUUAAA